rnacentral:rRNA from 1 species
GACGAACGCUGGCGGCGUGCUUAACACAUGCAAGUCGAACGGAAAGGCCCUGCUUUUGUUGUGUGCUCGAUUGGCGAACGGGUGAGUAACACGUGAGUAACCUGCCCCUGACUUUGUGAUAACUUCAGGAAACUGGGGCUAAUAUCGGAUAGGAGCUCCUGCUGCAUGGUGGUGGUUGGAAAGUUUCGGCGGUUGGGGAUGGACUCGCGGCUUAUCAGCUUGUUGGUGGGGUAGUGGCUUACCAAGGGUUUGACGGGUAGCCGGCCUGAGAGGGUGACCGGCCACCUUGGGACUGAGAUACGGCCCAGAAUCGUACGGGAGGCAGCAGUCGAGAGUAUUGCACAAUGGGCGGAAGCCUGAUGCAGCAGCGCCGCGUGCGGGAUGACGGCCUUCGGGUUGUAAACCGCUUUCGCAUGUAACGAAGCGUGAGUGACGGUAAUGGGUAAAGAAGCACCGGCUAACUACGUG